GAUGAAGAACGUAGCGAAAUGCGAUAAGUAAUGUGAAUUGCAGAAUUCAGUGAAUCAUCGAAUCUUUGAACGCACAUUGCGCCCGCCAGUAUUCUGGCGGGCAUGCCUGUCCGAGCGUCAUUUCAACCAUCAAGCCCCGGGCUUGUGUUGGGGACCUGCGUCCGACGCAGGCCCUGAAAACCAGUGGCGGGCUCGCUGUCCACACCGAGCGUAGUAACUAACCUCGCUAUGGAGUGGCGCGGGCGCCUGCCGUAAAACCCCCAAUUUCACAAGGUUGACCUCGGAUCAGGUAGGAAUACCCGCUGAACUUAAGCAUAUCAAUAAGCGGAGA
rnacentral:misc_RNA from 1 species